rnacentral:rRNA from 1 species
UCCUACGGGAGGCAGCAGUGGGGAAUAUUGGACAAUGGGCGAAAGCCUGAUCCAGCCAUGCCGCGUGUGUGAAGAAGGUCUUCGGAUUGUAAAGCACUUUAAGUUGGGAGGAAGGGCAGUAAGUUAAUACCUUGCUGUUUUGACGUUACCAACAGAAUAAGCACCGGCUAACUUCGUGCCAGCAGCCGCGGUAAU